rnacentral:rRNA from 1 species
GACGAACCGUGCGAACGUUGUUCGGAAUCACUGGGCUUAAAGCGCGCGUAGGCGGCUUUGCAAGUCGGGUGUGAAAUCCCCAGGCUUAACCUGGGAACUGCAUUCGAGACUGCAUUGCUAGAGUAUGGGAGAGGGAAGUGGAAUUUCCGGUGUAGCGGUGAAAUGCGUAGAUAUCGGAAGGAACAUCAGUGGCGAAAGCGACUUCCUGGACCAAUACUGACGCUCAUGUGCGAAAGCGUGGGAGCA